GGGAGAGAAACCAAGGACAAACAGCUGCAGAACCAGACCUUUUUAUUUGUGUUGGAGACCUUUUUAGUGUGUGUGCUCAACUACCUCCAAGUGAACUGGCCACGUGGUCCUGCCCUACCUUGGGACUACUCCAAUAAAAGGAUGGCGAGUUAGAAAUCGAGCCUGUGGUACUUUUCUUGUCUUCAACACAAUUGUCAAGUCAGGUAGGAAGCUCUGCAGCAUAUUUCUUCCUACCACUCAAGCUAAGCACUCCCAAUAUCAAUUCAACCUCUGAUACCUCAAGCAGCGCUACGGGACAACAUUUACCUUCCUCAUUCAUAAACCUGAAGGCAUUCAUACUUGGCGGUUCAAGAUA